rnacentral:tRNA from 1 species
UUAGGGGUAGUUUAAAAUAUCAGAAUGGUGGUUUUGGGAGUCAUUGGCGCACAGGGGUGCUCCCUAAA